rnacentral:rRNA from 1 species
CAGCAGCCGCGGUAAUACGUAGGGUGCAAGCGUUAAUCGGAAUUACUGGGCGUAAAGCGUGCGCAGGCGGUUAUAUAAGACAGAUGUGAAAUCCCCGGGCUCAACCUGGGAACUGCAUUUGUGACUGUAUAGCUAGAGUACGGCAGAGGGGGAUGGAAUUCCGCGUGUAGCAGUGAAAUGCGUAGAUAUGCGGAGGAACACCGAUGGCGAAGGCAAUCCCCUGGGAUAACACUGACGCUCAUGCACGAAAGCGUGGGGAGCAAACAGGAUUAGAUACCCCUGUAGUCCCUGUCUCUUAUAC